AGGCGUAUGCCUACGGGACCGAGACCGUUCACUUUUUUACUGACUGGGUUGUGCAGAGUGCGAUCCUGUAGACCCGCUCAAUGCCAGAGGCACACUGCGGAAAACAUGUUCGGCUAACAUUUUUCGUUUCCAAAUAUUUAUUUAAAAACGAAAAUAUCUGUUUUAGUUUUUGUGUGUUAAAUUAAAUGGUUUUAUAUCUUAAACAAAUUCCGUUGCAAAUAGGAGGCGCGCAGCUAUCGCUUGUUAGUGCCAACAAUCAUAACCAAAAAACAGAAGUCACAGCUUGGUGAGAAGUCACAUCUUGGUGGUCUUCAAUCUGGUUUUUAGUCAAUCGUGUCUCUCUCCCAGAUGAUGAUCCCAGAUGACAUGUUUUGUAGAUUCCCCCUACUGUUACAAGCACUGCUGCCCAAGAGUCUAUCAAAUACCGUUUCCAAGCCCAAAUCAUGCCACCCACAGUCCGUAUUGAAGAGACCAGAGAAAGACCAGAAGUCCAGUCCUGCAAUAUGACAUCAGGCAGCUCUGCUUGUGAGGUGCACUGUGUGAGAGGUCAAAGUGGCACUUCUUCUGCGAAAGAGGGGAUUGGAGAAGUUGGUGUCCAGCACCAGGAGGUGUCAUCCCCUGUGUUCUCAGCAGACCUUGCCAGUGAUGACCAGGGGAACUCUGCCUGUGUAACUUCUGGGUCACCUCAUUUCCCUGACUCAGUUACUCAAGGUAUUAAUUAAAUGCGGUCACUAGGCACACUAGGCACACUUGCCAAUGUGCAGUCAACACUUACAUUAUGUUUGGUUAGACAUAUGUAAGGGAUAAUGUAUAGAAAGCCAGUCAUUAUGGGGAAUAUGAGCCCAGACAGGGCGAACUGGACCCCGACAAGAAGCGGAGGGGUCUAGCUUCGUCCUGAAGGGGCUCAUAUUCCCCAUUGAUUGGUAGGCAGACAGGCUCUUUAAGCCCAUACAUUUAUACUGUGCAAUGUUUUUUUUAGAUGACCAGGGGAACUCUGCCUGUGUAACUUCUUGUUCACCUCAUCUCCCUGACUCAGUUACUCAAGGUUUCCGUGUUUCAUCAAGGCGGUGUACGAAGAGACCAUGGUCUGGUGAGGAGAUACAAGCCGUGAUGAAACAUCUGAGGCCUUUUGUUGAAAACGGUGUCACUGCCACCAGUGGGCAGUGACUGCAGUGCAAGGAAAAGGAACACCCUAUCUUGGAGACGAGAUCCAUUCAAAACAUUUGAGAUUUUGUACGCAACAGAGGCUUGGCCUUUAAAAGGCAUUCAAAUUCUAAACGCUAAAUGCACUUUUGGAUAGCUUGAGCCUUUCUAGGCAUGUUUUACAAGUUGGUGUCCUGUGUUCAGAAAUGGGUUAGGUCACUUCAUUUAUUUUGCUCACAGGCAUUUUUUUGUUUGUUUGUUUUGCUUUGUGGUUAGCCU